UAGAAACUUUUACCAUCAAAUGGUAGUAAAAAGUGUAAUAAAUAUCCCAAUAGAAGCAUAAAAAUAUAUACUAAUUGAUCUUUAUUUUCUAAGAAUUGAUGCUUUUGCUUAUGUUUUUUAAGAAAGAUGAUCGCUUAUUCAACGAGCUCAAUUUGCUAGUUGAAAGGAAGAAAUUUAGAGCAAAUUGGACUCAAAAUGGAUCCCGAAUAGAGAUGCAAAGGCAAGUUGAAAAUGAG
rnacentral:lncRNA from 1 species